rnacentral:rRNA from 1 species
AGGACGAACGCUGGCGGCGUGCUUAACACAUGCAAGUCGAGCGGUAAGGCCUCCUUCGGGGGGUACACGAGCGGCGAACGGGUGAGUAACACGUGGGUGACCUGCCCUCAGCUCUGGGAUAAGCCUGGGAAAACCGGGUCUAAUACCGGAUGGGACUGCUUGCCGCAUGGUGGGUGGUGGAAAGUUUUUUCGGCUGGGGAUGGGCCCGCGGCCUAUCAGCUUGUUGGUGGGGUGAUGGCCUACCAAGGCGGUGACGGGUA